rnacentral:rRNA from 1 species
UUGCCUUAGUAACGGCGAGUGAAGCGGCAAUAGCUCAAAUUUGAAAUCUGGCUCUUUCAGAGUCCGAGUUGUAAUUUGUAGAAGAUGCUUCGGCUUACGUACUGGUCUAAGUUCCUUGGAACAGGACGUCACAGAGGGUGAGAAUCCCGUUUGUGGCCGGUACUUCCGCUAUGUGAAGCUCCUUCGACGAGUCGAGUUGUUUGGGAAUGCAGCUCUAAAUGGGAGGUAAAUUUCUUCUAAAGCUAAAUAUUGGCCAGAGACCGAUAGCGCACAAGUAGAGUGAUCGAAAGAUGAAAAGCACUUUGGAAAGAGAGUUAAAAAGUACGUGAAAUUGUUGAAAGGGAAGCGCUUGCGACCAGACUUGCCUUUAGUUGCUCCGCCGGUCCUUCGACCGGUGUAUUCUUCUAUUGUCAGGCCAGCAUCAGUUUGGGUGGUUGGAUAAAGACUUUGGGAAUGUGACUCUCUUCGGGGAGUGUUAUAGCCCUUUGUGCAAUACAGCCUACCUAGACUGAGGACCGCGCUUCGGCUAGGAUGCUGGCGUAAUGGUCGUAAGCGGCCCGUCUUGAAACACGGACCAAGGAGUCUAACAUCUAUGCGAGUGUUUGGGUGUCAAACCCGUGCGCGAAAUGAAAGUGAACGGAGGUGGGAACCUUUGGGUGCACCAUCGACCGAUCCUGAUGUCUUCGGAUGGAUUUGAGUAAGAGCAUAGCUGUUGGGACCCGAAAGAUGGUGAACUAUGCCUGAAUAGGGUGAAGCCAGAGGAAACUCUGGUGGAGGCUCGCAGCGGUUCUGACGUGCAAAUCGAUCGUCAAAUUUGGGUAUAGGGGCGAAAGACUAAUCGAACCAUUAAAAAAAAAGUUACUAGGUGGUUAAGAGGCGGCUAAAAGUGACCGUCUAGUCCCUUCAUUCGGGGCAACACCGUCAAAUUGCGGGGACUUCCUUAGAGCUUGAACUACCGCGGCCUGUCGAAAGAUAUAAAGGCGCAGCACCGGGUUAAUAACCUAGGGGAUGGUAAAAAUGUUCAAGAUUGGUUAAUCCGCAGCCAAGUCCUAAGUCAUAUGUAAUAAACAUGAUACGGAUGCAGUUCACAGACUAGAUGUCGGUGGGUAUAAUCAAAAACUUUUGAUUUAUGCUUAAGGUAUAGUCGGUUCCCUAUAGAAAUAUAGGCAGUAGGUCAAAGCAAUUAGGCAGAAUGACUCUUUGUAAAAAGGGAGUGCCUAAUAGCCCGAAACCUAUUGGAGUUUGGCCUCUGCAAAGAGGUAA